CAAGUCGUACGAAGAUCUUUGAUCUUAGUGGCGGACGGGUGAGUAACACGUGAGAAUCUGCCCUUAGGAAGAGGAUAACAGCUGGAAACGGUUGCUAAUACUCUAUACGCCGAGAGGUAAAAGGAUUUAUCCACCUUAGGAAGAGCUCGCGUCUGAUUAGCUUGUUGGUAAGGUAAUGGCUUACCAAGGCGACGAUCAGUAGCUGGUUUGAGAGGACGACCAGCCACACUGGGACUGAGACACGGCCCAGACUCCUACGGGAGGCAGCAGUGGGGAAUUUUCCGCAAUGGGCGAAAGCCUGACGGAGCAAUACCGCGUGAGGGAUGAAAGCCUGUGGGUUGUAGACCUCUUUUCUCAAGGAAGAAGUUCUGACGGUACUUGAGGAAUAAGCAUCGGCUAACUCUGUGCCAGCAGCCGCGGUAAUACAGAGGAUGCAAGCGUUAUCCGGAAUCACUGGGCAUAAAGCGUCUGUAGGUUGCCUACCAAGUCUGCUGUUAAAGAUCAGGGCCUAACCCUGGGAAAGCAGUGGAAACUAGUAGGCUUGAGUGUGGUAGAGGUAGAGGGAAUUCCUGGUGUAGCGGUGAAAUGCGUAGAUAUUAGGAAGAACACCAAUGGCGAAAGCACUCUACUGGGCCAUAACUGACACUGAGAGACGACAGCUAGGGGAGCAAAUGGGAUUAGAUACCCCAGUAGUCCUAGCCGUAAACGAUGGAUACUAGGUGUUGCACGUAUUAACCCGUGCAGUAUCGUAGCUAAGGCGUUAAGUAUCCCGCCUGGGAAGUACGCUCGCAAGAGUGAAACUCAAAGGAAUUGACGG
rnacentral:rRNA from 1 species